GUUGGAGUAUUACUGAACUAUGCUAUCCUUAGGAACCAGCCUCGUGAUCUGCCUUUGCAACUGGAGCUCGUCUUCCUUAGCAUCACUAGUUAAGAUAUUGGACCUACCCCAAAGGCACCAGGUCCCUUCUCUUCUUGGACGCUAAGCCAGGUCUUGGUUUGGGAGGCGAACAGGAGAAGGAGGAAUGUUUUUACGGUUCGGAGGAGAGGAAAAUUCAGCAGCCCUCCAGGGAACCAUUGGGGAGGUCUCGGGUCUUGUAAACGGUUUGCAGCUGGCUCAGCAAAAAAUGAGGUCUGAGGGAAGGGAAGGAAACAAAUCCCUUCUCUCUCCUGCCGAAGAUGAAGAACAGAGCGGGAAAAGGCCGGAGAGGAGAGCUGAUGAUCACUUUUCUAAAAGGAAAGCAAGAAAAGAGCAGGGGAAAAGGUCUUCGCCUGAGGCUACAACUGCCAGAAAGAGCUGGGAGAAAGUGAAUUUUCUUUUUUGAAGACCACAACUCCAUGAAAAGUUUUCCGAGGAUGUGGUUUGGGACCUGAACGUUUCUGGGAGUUGUGAGCCCCAACAACCGAUGGUCAUCCUCCGGGAGAGCAGAAUCAUAAAUCUCACUUCACAUCUAAUCAGCAUCUUUUGAAACACUUCGUGUUAUUAUUAACUGACCAUAUGGGAGACAAAACACAGCAUUCAUAAUGCCGAUAGGUUUCUUCUUUUCUUACCGCAUCCUGAAGCAAGAGCACAGCUUGGAAAAGUUCUUUUUGAGGGACUGCACGGCCCUGACCCAUAUCUGUUGUACACCCUUGCCAUAAUGUGACAGAAUACUGGGAACUGAUGUAUGUAUAUGUAUGUUGAGUAUCUGAUAAAGACCAGAAAACAGAAAGCCAUAAGAAUAGAGAAUAGAGAGCAAAUUAACCAACAAGUUCUUCUGAACAUCUAGACAACUCCAACAAGUAAGCCAAUCCACAAGUGACAAGAGAAGGCAAGGAGUAAGGAAAUAAAAUGAUCACACAGGCAGACCAUCCUUCUAACUAGUUUCCUUAUUUUGACAUAUGAAGAUUAAGGAUCUCUUCCUUGCUCAGGCAUACAGGAAGCUUCUUCCAGAAGCCAGGGAAGUGUCAAUAAUGGGGUGAUCAUCUUGGGUGAAGUUUGCUGAGGCAGGCAUUUUCCUGACACAGGCUACAUAAAUAGUUGGUUCCUGUCCAUGCAGUUGGGGGUGAUGGUGAAGGAGUGAGCAGGUUUGAGGAGGAGAUACUCUGUUGCUGAAGAAUGUUAGCUAAUACAGUAAGGAACUAGUAGUUUGUGCUUUGUGGCUAUUCCUAUUCAGAGCAUAGAAAAGUUCCUUUCCUAAACUGCCAUAAUCCCUCAGCCAGUAAGUUUGGGUGGUGUUGGUGUUCUGGGACUUGCCAUCCAAAAAGCAAACCCUGGUCUGUUCAAUUAUAAAGGUUUGACACCAUUGUCACACUAGCAGUUACACAGCAACUAUGGAUUAUUAUACCCUUUCUACUCAGACAUAAGCCAUGUUAUGCUUAUUGGUGCUUAUUCCCUGCUACUGUCUCAUGCACUUCUGUCUAGGGCUUGAUCCAGUUAAACUCAAUGGGAUUUUAAAACAGUGGAGCUCAAAAUAAUUUUUCAAUUCAGCUCAUCGAAAUGAUUUAUCUCAUUAUCAUGCAAGAAUGAAAAUAAUACUCCUCCAGGUGAAUUUUGUGUAUGCCAUGUAGUCUGCUUGUCUGUCCCACCUCAAACAUACU